GACGAACGCUGGCGGCGUGCUUAACACAUGCAAGUCGAACGGAAAGGCCCUUCGGGGUACUCGAGUGGCGAACGGGUGAGUAACACGUGGGUGAUCUGCCCUGCACUUUGGGAUAAGCCUGGGAAACUGGGUCUAAUACCGAAUAGGACCGCGCGCUUCAUGGUGUGUGGUGGAAAGCUUUUGCGGUGUGGGAUGGGCCCGCGGCCUAUCAGCUUGUUGGUGGGGUAAUGGCCUACCAAGGCGACGACGGGUAGCCGGCCUGAGAGGGUGACCGGCCACACUGGGACUGCGAUACGGCCCAGACUCCUACGUGCGGCAGCAGGGGGGAAUAUUGCGCAAUGGGCGCAAGCCUGAUGCAGCGACGCCGCGUGAGUGAUGACGGCCUUCGGGUUGUAAACCUCUUUCACCAGGGACGAAGCGAAAGUGACGGUACCUGGAGAAGAAGCACCGGCCAACUACGUG
rnacentral:rRNA from 1 species